CCUACGGGGAGCAGCAGUGAGGAAUAUUGGUCAAUGGGCGGAAGCCUGAACCAGCCAAGUAGCGUGCAGGAUGACGGCCCUACGGGUUGUAAACUGCUUUUAUACGGGAAUAACGCGCCUUAAGUGUAGGGCUUUGCAUGUACCGUAUGAAUAAGCAUCGGCUAACUCCGUGCCAGCAGCCGCGGUAAUAAGGAGGAUGCGAGCGUUAUCUGGAUUUAUUGGGUUUAAAGGGUGCGUAGGCGGAAGGUUAAGUCAGCGGUCAAAUGUCGGUGCUCAACACCGGCCUGCCGUUGAAACUGGUCUUCUUGAGUGAGCGAGAAGUAUGCGGAAUGCGUGGUGUAGCGGUGAAAUGCAUAGAUAUCACGCAGAACUCCGAUUGCGAAGGCAGCAUACCGGCGCUCAACUGACGCUGAGGCACGAAAGCGUGGGGAUCGAACAGGAUUAGAUACCCCGGUAGUC
rnacentral:rRNA from 1 species